UAGGAUAGGAAUUUGGGCAAGGUAAA
rnacentral:piRNA from 1 species